rnacentral:rRNA from 1 species
AUUGAACGUUGGCGGCAUGCUUUACACAUGCAAGUCGAACGGUAACAGGCCUUCGGGUGCUGACGAGUGGCGAACGGGUGAGUAAUGCAUCGGAACGUGCCCAAUCGUGGGGGAUAACGUAGCGAAAGUUACGCUAAUACCGCAUAAGCCCUGAGGGGGAAAGCAGGGGAUCGCAAGACCUUGCGCGAUUGGAGCGGCCGAUGUCUGAUUAGCUAGUUGGUGGGGUAAAGGCCUACCAAGGCGACGAUCACUAGCUGGUCUGAGAGGUCGAUCAGCCACACUGGGACUGAGACACGGCCCAGACUCCUACGGGAGGCAGCAGUGGGGAAUUUUGGACAAUGGGCGAAAGCCUGAUCCAGCCAUUCCGCGUGAGUGAAGAAGGCCUCGGUUGUAAGGUACUCUUUCGGUCACGGAACGAAACGGACCGUUACGUAAC